rnacentral:tRNA from 11 species
UGUUCUUGGCGGACUUCAAAACUGUUGUGUGGGGGAGCAG